AACGAACGCUGGCGGCAUGCCUAACACAUGCAAGUCGAACGAGACCUUCGGGUCUAGUGGCGCACGGGUGCGUAACGCGUGGGAACCUGCCCUUAGGUUCGGAAUAACUCCCCGAAAGGGGUGCUAAUACCGGAUAAUGUCUUCGGACCAAAGAUUUAUCGCCUUUGGAUGGGCCCGCGUUGGAUUAGCUAGUUGGUAGGGUAAAAGCCUACCAAGGCGACGAUCCAUAGCUGGUCUGAGAGGAUGAGCAGCCACACUGGGACUGAGACACGGCCCAGACUCCUACGGGAGGCAGCAGUGGGGAAUAUUGGACAAUGGGCGAAAGCCUGAUCCAGCAAUGCCGCGUGAGUGAUGAAGGCCUGAGGGUUGUAAAGCUCUUUUACCCGGGAUGAUAAUGACAGUACCGGGAGAAUAAGCGCCGGCUAACUCCGUG
rnacentral:rRNA from 1 species